rnacentral:misc_RNA from 1 species
UCUAAGGAAGAAAUGGGAAGUUAUUAUUCUUUGGUAUUUAGUUUUGAGUGUUCGAUUUUUUGAAUACUCAUGAAGAUGAACCUUGAAAACUAAAUAACAAGCAUAACGAAUAGAGCAAAUGACAAAAAAGAUUUGUCACGACACGAGAAAAAAAGAGUAAAGUCAAUCCGUUUAAGGAAAAGAUACUCAUAUAUAUAUCAAAGGUCAAGCUAAUAAGAGCAAAGGGUGAAUGCCUUGGCAUCAAGAACCGAAGAAGGACGCAGAAAGCUGCGAAAAGCCACGGGGAGACGCACACAGUCAGCGAUCCGUGGGUAUC